rnacentral:rRNA from 1 species
GAUGAACGCUGGCGGCGUGCUUAACACAUGCAAGUCGAACGGAAAGGCCAGUGCUUGCACUGGUACUCGAGUGGCGAACGGGUGAGUAACACGUGGGUGAUCUGCCCUGUACUUCGGGAUAAGCUUGGGAAACUGGGUCUAAUACCGGAUAGGACAACUUUUUGGAUAUUGUUGUGGAAAGCUUUUGCGGUAUGGGAUGAGCUCGCGGCCUAUCAGCUUGUUGGUAGGGUAAUGGCCUACCAAGGCGUCGACGGGUAGCCGGCCUGAGAGGGUGUACGGCCACAUUGGGACUGAGAUACAGCCCAGACUCCUACGGGAGGCAGCAGUGGGGAAUAUUGCACAAUGGGCGCAAGCCUGAUGCAGCGACGCCGCGUGGGGGAUGAAGGCCUUCGGGUUGUAAACUCCUUUCGCUAGGGACGAAGCGUAAGUGACGGUACCUGGAGAAGAAGCACCGGCUAACUACGUG